rnacentral:rRNA from 1 species
UAGUAAUGGCAGGUCAGCAUACUGCCGUGAAUACGUUCCCGGGCCUUGUACACACCGCCCGUCACACCAUGAGAGUUGGAAAUACCCGAAGCCUGUGAGCUAACAGUAAUGAGGCAGCAGUCGAAGGUAGAGCCAAUGAUUGGGGUGAAGUCGUAACAAGGUAAC